AUUACUGGCAAGAGCCACUAUGUCUAGCCCCAACCUUUUCUAGAAAAUUCUGAGAAUUGUCUAAUCUACAAACUCCAUCUACAUAGUUAGUGCAAGUCACCACUACAAUAUGGCCCAAGCUAUGAGUCCAAACCCCUCUUCAGAUCAUAGAAUCCUGGAGAGAGUUUUCCUCUUUCAUUCUGUCUCCCUACCGUAUUUCUUCUGCCAUCUUGUGAAAACCUUUGCAGAUGGAUCUUCUGUUCUGAACACUUUUCUCCGAGGAUCAGAGAGAGCAUGAACACAUUAGUCUCUACAAGGCUAAUUCUACCCCAACACCCAUCAAAGCAACCCAAAUGACACGCCAUGCAUCUUGAGUGACCGUGCACUGCCACAUACUCUGAGCUCUACUACAGGUAAUGCUACACCAAAUUGACAUUGUAACUGUUUCAAAUGUCUCUUAGAGACAAAUAUAGAACAGUAGGUAUAAUAACCUCUGAAAACUUCCAGGAGUAAUGAGGUUUUGCCAAGGCUUGUUGUAUUUUUCAUGGAUAGUUGUCAGGAAAUAACUUACCAGAAAGCCCAAUUGAUUUGACAGUCAUUUUGACCUGUGAUUUAUUUAUUAAAUACAAUUUGAAGAUUCCUAAAAGAAAAAUUGCUAAUAAAUCAUAGAUCCUGUAUCUUUUUAUAAACAAUCCCUUGUGAUUUUUGAAGUUGCAAGAAAAUGCUGACAAAAAUUUUUAUGAUGUUGAAAUAGGUAUAAAUAAAAGCUUAUACAAAGCCACUGUCUCAACAUCAGCAGGAUAAGAGAUAAGAACUUCUGAGAUAUUAUACUGUUCCCCCAAAAAACACUACUGUUUUUUUUCCUUCCCCUUUCUCUCUCGCCACCCUGUCCUUUCCUCCUUUCUAUCCUUAAUAACUGAGCUCCUCCUACGGUUUUAAUGUUACUAAAUCAGAAACUGGCUUUGUUUCAUUUGAAUUUCCUUUUAUAUGUUCUCAUGAUUGAAAACAAAAGAAUAAAAACCCUACUUCUGAUCACAAUGAGAUCUUUACCAUCACUAAGCAUUUACUCUCUAGUAUAUGAAAUAUAUGAAUUAUUCUAAUUCAAUAGGAUUCUAAGGCAAUUUGGCAAUAGCUAGUAUUAAUUUGGAUUUAAAAAAGCCGUUGGUAUAAACAGAAAGAGAUGUGUAGGGGAAAUAAGCAGGCAGGCAAAUAAUUUAGAAAGAAGAGACAGCUUCUGUGGUUAAAAAUAAAAGUCUGGGAUUUAGUUUUUCUUUGCCAUACAGAAAACAGAUGUUGCUAUUUUUGUUCAAAAUAAAAAACUUAAAUUCCAUGAUUAGACUCUGGAAUAUGUAAAGUAACUAUGGAUACCAAAUUUAUGAUUUAAAAAAUCUGACAUUUAGUUUUCUGUUCAUAUUUGAAAUCAGGAAAUAAUCGUGCUCCUGAAAUGCCAACUUUCUAUAUAACAAAUUCACUGAUUUAUACACUCAGGAACACUGAAGAUACUCUCAGUCCUGGCCUGUCUUUGGAGGCAUAAGGUUGUUACACUAUAUAGUCUGUUGUGAACAAAAAUAAAAAUAGGACAUUGAGAGAUGUUUUUGCUCUUCCCAUUUCUCCUUUUCUAUAAUUCUCUUCUUCCCCCCAGAAAGAUCCUGAAGGGAGAGACAACCUGGCUUUCACCCUCCACUGGGACAGUACUACCCCCGUCUUGGUCCCCAGAGGCUUCAUGACUCACUUCCCAUGCCAUCCUUGAGAAACUAGAUGAGCUAGUAAAAUGGAGUAAUUAUCUACUGAAGUUUGCUUCAGUGUGGGCAAGAAACUCCCAAUCUCUUAUCACCUACUAUUAUAUGUAAGAAAUAAUUAUUCUAAUUCUGCCCUGUCCAAACAAAUGUAAGCCCAUUGAAACAAAUCAUGAAAGAUAACAAUUUUCAUCCCAUUUAGUCAAUAUGGAGUGUUAUAAUAUCUCUGUUAUAAUAUCCCCACUAGGCUGUAAGCCCCAAAAGGGCAGUGAUUGCACCUGAGUGCUCACCAACGGAUACAUUCAAUCAGACACAGCCAUUGCCUGGCACAUAGUUAGAUGCUCUCACACACAAAGAAAUUAAGAAAGGAAAGAAUAAAAUAUACAAGCACACUUACUUAUAGCAAUAAUAGUGACUUUCCCAAUGUAAUCUGUUCAUAAGAUUGAUCAAUCUGUUAUAAAUGCAAUGAUGCUUUUAUUUUUUAAGAAAAAUCUCACACAUUUUCCUUACACAAAUAUAUAUGUGAGCAGAGUUCACAAUGGGGUCUUUCAGAAUGAACUGUUCACCAUUUUCCAGGAUUGCCAGAAUAAUCAUUCAUUUGAACCCACUAAAAUUUCUAUUUGUUUCUCUUGUCUCUCUCUCUCUUUUUUUUUUUUCUCCUUUUUCUAGGCUGCCCAUGAGAAUGCUGAGACAUUAUCAAAUAUAUUUCAAUUCUAUGACCUGAAUUGCAGUUGUGUAAGUGCUAUAAAUCAAAAUCAUUUGCUUUAAUAAUUGAAGAGUAAACUGAAAGACAAUACCGUAGAUGUUAAUGUUUCAAUGUGAACAUGUAUUUCAGAUAAAUUAAAAAGAACAAACACUGCUUUCUAGAAUAGAAGCAAAAGUUAUGGGUUUUCUCCAUGGUCAUAUUUUAUUCAUUAUUCUACUUUCUGCACACUGUAUAUGCUUGAGAUAAAACAAUAAUCAAAACAAUAAAUACAUAAAGACUGUUUAGUUGCAGUCUAGGAGCCUAAAUAAGAGCAGUAUUCUUGCUUAAUGACCCAUGGUUCUAGCUUUUCCCCACGCAGCAGGAUUUAUACCUUUUCAUUAUUACACGAAGAAGUCACCAUUUGUCCUAAGAUAUAUUAAGACAAACGGGAAUUUAAAACUUAUACAAAAAACAUCAUUUUCUUGGGUUAGAGAUGUCUAAUACAUCAUUUCUACAGGAUUAUUUUUAAAAAUUAUAUGAGCAACCUGACCUAUUGCAUUAUAUGGAUUUAAAAACUCUCUUAAGAAGCAAGAAUAGCAAAUCACUCUGUGGUUUGUUUUUGUGAAAUUGUCUGUUGUAAAUUGAGUACUCACUAGUAUUUCAUGUUGGAAUUUGCAAAAUUACUAGUAUGUUAAAACUCACUCUCAGUUGUAGCUAUGACUGUGUUUAUCUGAUUUCAGUUUUAUUUGUGCACUUUAAAAUGGAAGGGGAACCAUUUAGUUGAUCUUAGUAUCUAUCAAAAUUUUAUAAAGGGGUAUUUCCUCUGCAAAAGUUCUAAGGAUUAAGGAUAAAGUCAUGUCCAUGAUUUGGAAUGUGAACGAAACCUAGGACAGUAAAAGUGUUUAGGACAGCAAUAGAUGAGACCUCAUUUAUCCAUCUUCAUCAGAAAAAAAUGGAAUAGGGACAGCAAUUUUACUACACAAGUAACUGAGAAUGUUCAUUUUCUCACUUCAGUGUUAUCUCCCUAACUCCACUAAGAGCAUUAAGUACA